rnacentral:rRNA from 1 species
UACGAAGGGGGCUAGCGUUGCUCGGAAUCACUGGGCGUAAAGCGCACGUAGGCGGCUUUGUAAGUUAGAGGUGAAAGCCCGGAGCUCAACUCCGGAAUUGCCUUUAAGACUGCAUCGCUAGAAUUGUGGAGAGGUGAGUGGAAUUCCGAGUGUAGAGGUGAAAUUCGUAGAUAUUGGGAAGAACACCGGUGGCGAAGGCGGCCAUCUGGACCGCAACUGACGCUGAGGCGCGAAAGCUAGGGUAGCAAACGGG